UCUCUUAAAUUGAGGAAGCAGAACAUGACUCAUCCCUGCCUUCCUGGCAUCCGGAGGGGGCUCCAGGAAAGUUGUGGCAUCCAGUUAGCCGCUUCCACGUGAGUCCCAGUCCUGCUGACAUGUAAGCCUGUCCCCAGUGUCGCUGAGCCAGCUGCUGUUCUCUCCACAUCAGGUACAACUAAUCUUAGGAAUCUCAUUACGGGUCGAGAAAUAAUC
rnacentral:lncRNA from 1 species